GCCAGACUCCUACGGGAGGCAGCAGUGGGGGAUAUUGCACAAUGGGGGGAACCCUGAUGCAGCGACGCCGCGUGGGUGAAGAAGCGCCUCGGCGCGUAAAGCCCUAUCGGCAGGGAAGAAGGAGGACGGUACCUGACUAAGAAGCCCCGGCUAACUACGUGCCAGCAGCCGCGGUAAUACGUAGGGGGCAAGCGUUAUCCGGAUUUACUGGGUGUAAAGGGGGCGCAGACGGCAGCGCAAGCCAGGAGUGAAAGCCCGGGGCCCAGCCCCGGGACUGCUCUUGGAACUGCGCGGCUGGAGUGCAGGAGGGGCAGGCGGAAUUCCUGGUGUAGCGGUGAAAUGCGUAGAUAUCAGGAGGAACACCGGUGGCGAAGGCGGCCUGCUGGACUGCGACUGACGUUGAGGCCCGAAAGCGUGGGGAGCAAACAGGAUUAGAUACCCUCGUAA
rnacentral:rRNA from 1 species